rnacentral:rRNA from 1 species
AGGGCAAGUCUGGUGCCAGCAGCCGCGGUAAUUCCAGCUCCAAUAGCGUAUAUUAAAGUUGUUGCAGUUGAAAAGCUCGUAGUUGAAUUUCGGGGUUCUACCGUUGGUCGGGCUUUGUCUGUACUGGUGUGUAGAAUUUCUACCUUCUGGGGAACCAUCAUGCUAUUAAUUUAGCGUGGUGGGAAACCAGGACCUUUACCUUGAAAAAAUUAGUGUGUUCAAAGCAGGCUUAUGUCUGAAUACAUUAGCGUGGAAUAAUAGAAUAGGACGGUGGUCCUGUUUUGUUGGUUUCUGAAUCACCGUAAUGAUUAAUAGGGAUAGUUGGGGGCAUUAGUAUUCAAUUGUCAGAGGUGAAAUUCUUGGAUUUAUUGAAGACUAACUUCUGCGAAAGCAUUUGCCAAGGAUGUUUUCAUUAAUCAAGAACGAAAGUUAGGGGAUCGAAGACGAUCAGAUACCGUCGUAGUCUUAACCAUAAACUAUGCCGACUAGGGAUCGGACGAUGUUAAUUUUUCUUGACUCGUUCGGCGCCUUACGGGAAAC